UAUCCAUAAUAAAGGCUAGAUGUCUUACAGCGGAGUCUCAAACGUCAUCACCGGCGGCCAUCUUGCCUCAGGCAGGCUUUCAGGCGUGCUCUGUGGUACCUAAUGUAAGGAUUUGUUGAGCGACGGGCUCUGAAAAAGCUGUCCUGUGAUAUCUGCCGUGCCAGCUUGGUAACAGAUGCUGCAUCUGCCAUCAAGGACCAGAGCUACCACCUGCUGAAGUUAAAAAACAAUGGAGGUCUGGUGAUUCCAUCAGAAGGCACAGUGAUGGUAGUCAGGGCAGCAGAGUGGGUCAUUCGUCAGACCUCAUGUACCAGAUGAUCACAGCUCAUGAAAGUGCUAGAGGUCGUGUACAUUGUACGGAAGAGGAUGGGGUCAGAGGAUGUGUUUGUGCUCAGAGAGCACAUCGGAGAGACACAGUAUGGCAUAGACAGCCACCACCAUACGCUGUUAACAUUGGUUGUGUCCUUGUUUUUUAAGUUAAGGCUGCACCACAUUGCCAAAAUAACUAACCUUAGCUUACAGAGCAACAACAUGCGACAGAAGCUCAAUAAAACCGUCCUUUUCAAAGGGCAUUAGCCAA